rnacentral:rRNA from 1 species
CCAAUAGCGUAUAUUAAAGUUGUUGCAGUUAAAAAGCUCGUAGUUGAAUUUCGAGACCGGUUUAUUGGUCGUGCUUUUGUACGUACUGGUAUUAUUGGUUUCUCCUUUCUGACGAAUCUUAAUGCCAUUAAUUUGGUGUUUUGGGGAAUCAGGACUGUUACUUUGAAAAAAUUAGAGUGUUUAAAGCAGGCUCACGCUUGAAUACAUUAGCAUGGAAUAACGGAAUAGGACGUUUGAUUCUAUUUUGUUGGGUUCUAGGAUCGACGUAAUGAUUAAUAGGGAUAGUUGGGGGCAUUAGUAUUCAAUUGUCAGAGGUGAAAUUCUUGGAUUUAUUGAAGACUAACUACUGCGAAAGCAUUUGCCAAGGAUGUUUUCAUUAAUCAAGAACGAAAGUUAGGGGAUCGAAGACGAUCAGAUACCGUCGUAGUCUUAACCAUAAACUAUGCCGACUAGGGAUCGGAUGAUGUUAAUUUUUUAAUGACUCAUUCGGCGCCUUACG